rnacentral:rRNA from 1 species
UACAGAGGUGGCAAGCGUUGUUCGGAAUUACUGGGCGUAAAGGGUGCGUAGGCGGCGCGGUAAGUCGGGUGUGAAAUCUCGGAGCUUAACUCCGAAACUGCAUUCGAUACUGCCGUGCUUGAGGACUGGAGAGGAGACUGGAAUUUACGGUGUAGCGGUGAAAUGCGUAGAUAUCGUAAGGAAGACCAGUGGCGAAGGCGGGUCUCUGGGCAGUUCCUGACGCUGAGGCACGAAGGUCAGGGGAGCAAACGGG